ensembl:lincRNA
CUAAAGUUCAUUUUUUUAAUAUUCAGUUGCAACAUAUACAAGUAGUUUUGCUUAAGAGAAAAAGUCAAUGUUAGAAUGAAUGUCCUCUUGUUUCAUUUUAUAAAGCUUUCACUGAUGGGUUUUCCGGCAUUGUAGACAUCUCCUGUGUCAUCCAUAGUGUGGUUCUAUGUAUUCUGAAGGGAGUUGCAGUUGACUUGCAAUUUCUCAUCCAGUAUUAACCUUAAUUUAUGCACUCAUGUGAUAGUUCUCAAAUAGUUGUCUCAUCAGAACAAGUAAGGCUGCAAUAGCACUUUUUAAAUGUUGCUCAAUUUCUUUUUUUCCUGCCCAGCUUCUGUGGAAAACAUUUUCAAGUUCAUUAGAUCAAACUUGUUGAGAAUGGCUGACAUCUGAGAAUCAAACCAACACUCCUCAGCAUUGAGUCAAAAAGUCACAGAAGGCAAGAGAUCCUUAUCCUUCAAGGCAAGAGAGAUGGAGCUAUUGGAAUAUUCUUUUUCCUUGAUCAAAAUAACCUUCAUCGGGGAAAUAUUCUCUUACAAAAAUACCACAGCUCUCUGACCAGUUCUUCAAUCACAGUCUAUCAGAUCCUCAAUGGCUUUGGAUGAUAUUUUUGACAAAUCCCAUAUGCAUCAGUCUGGGUCACAUCAGGAAACAGAUGGCGCAGUCAGCAUUGAAAUAUAAAGGAGUUUAAUAAGGUGGUGUUUACAGAGAUAAUGGUAAGAUCAAGGGAACUGAGAAGAAAUCCUGAAGCACUCAGGGACUCCCAACAGUGGGAGCUAAUGAGCUGUAGCCCUGCAGAGGUAGGGUUAGAGAGCUGAAACUGUAGCUGGGAGACCCCACAGGGAUGGUCACCAUGGGUAAGAAACACAGGCACUAGCCAGCUAUACCCAUGGUGUAAGUUUAGGUGAAAUAAAUACCUUGACUGUCCUUUCCUCCCUGUCUCUACUGCUCUGCUGCUACCUCAUUGGCUGGGUAUAAUCAGAAGCUGAAGACAUGGGAGCCCAGGUCCUGCAGUGUGUGGAGUUCACUCUUCUGGGCAACGAGCAGGAAGAAAAGUGCAAAAAAUGCAUUAGAUGUGCAAACGAGUGACCAGUACAGUACAGCUUCUUGGUGAAUUUUAGGCCUUCAGUUAUCUCAUUUUCAAGUUUCAACAUUCAGCCAAGUUUAUACAAAAAUGUGAACCUCAGAUUUAGCUUAAAACGACUCCCUCUCUGCCCCACGGCAUUCAGGCCGCCCUGAACUCCAUAUUGUACAGCCUUUUUCUCUCCUCGUCUGCCCAUCGUUUUGCCUCUGGCUUCUCCAGGACAGAGGCAGGUCUUGCGGGAUAUGAAUGAGAGUUAAGAGGACAUUGACCUUUAUACUCAGUUAGUGUUGUUUCUUGCUCUAGAGCAACUGAAAAAUACUUUCCAUCAUGGCAAGC